GCGCCUGUGGCCGAGUGGAUUCAGGCAUCGCUCUUCUAAAGCGAUACACGCUGGUUCGAGUCCAGCCAGGCGUUCCA
rnacentral:tRNA from 1 species